CAAAAUAAAUUUCUUAAAGCUUGACUCUUACAUUUGUUUAGCCAAAAUUAAUUAAAAAAAACUUGUUAAUAAGCAUGUUAGGUUUAUAUAAACAGAGUUGUUUCUUUUUUUGUGGAUGUUAGUUAAUAUUUCCAGUUGCAUUCAUUUGGACCAAUCAGAGCCAAUCUUUUCAAAACAAGCUUGCCGGCAAUUGUCCAAUCACACACUGCCAUUUGAACUUACAUGUUGGGCGGGGCGCAGACAGCGGAUACUGACUGUCUGUGGUAUCCCAUUAUAGCUUCGGAUAUUUCAACAGAAAUCAUGUAUUUUCCAAAUUUUGCUUUGUUAUUUCACUGGCUCGGACCUAGUGAAUGUGGAUAGCACCGAUCUAAUAUUGAGAGAACACACGAGCAGAUUACCAGGUCGUCAGCUCCCGCGAACAAUUAGCAGUGAAGAGGACAACGCAGAGGUGCGCCGCCACGACAUGGACAGAGCAAGAUACUGCCAGAAAAGAUCUUACUUCUUGGUGAGCUUCCAGGGAUAUUAUCAUCUCUCAAAGAGGCCCUGGAGUCCAUGAAACGAGAUUUCCCUCGGUGGUUCUGAUGUCCCCAAAAGAGUCUAUGGCAGACUGAACAAGUCACGAACUUCUCUUUUUACUCAAGAUUUGGCCACUUUACUUUUUGCUAUUGUAUUUCACUUUGUUUGACUUAAAGGAUUAGUUCACUUUAAAAAAAAAAAAAAAAAACCUUUAGCUGAU